rnacentral:rRNA from 1 species
CCUACGGUGCGCAGCAGUGGGGAAUAUUGGGCAAUGGGCGCAAGCCUGACCCAGCAAUGCCGCGUGAAGGAAGAAGGCUUUCGGGUUGUAACCUUCUUUGACAGGGGAAGAGCAGAAGACGGUACCCUGAAAACAAGCCACGGCUAACUACGUGCCAGCAGCCGCGGUAAUACGUAGGUGGCAAGCGUUGUCCGGAUUUACUGGGUGUAAAGGGCGUGUAGCCGGGAAGGCAAGUCAGAUGUGAAAGCCGGAGGCUCAACCUCCGAAUUGCAUUUGAAACUGUUUUUCUUGAGUACUGGUGAGGUAGACGGAAUUCGUGGUGUAGCGGUGAAAUGCGUAGAUAUAAGGAAGAACACCAGUGGCGAAGGCGGAUGACUGGACGGCAACUGACGGUGAGGCGCGAAAGCGUGGGGAGCAAACAGGAUUAGAUACCCCUGUAGUC